UGUGAUGCCCUUAGAUGUCCUGGGCUGCACGCGCGCGACACUGAUUGAUUCAACAAGUGGCUGGGUCGAGAGACUUGGCAACUCUUUUGAAAAUCAAUCGUGAUGGGGAUUGAUGUUUGUAAUUAUCAUCAUGAACGAGGAAUUCCUAGUAAAUGCAAGUCAUCAACUUGCGUUGAUUACGUCCCUGCCCUUUGUACACACCGCCCGUCGCACCUACCGAUUGAAUGGUCCGAUGAACACUUUGG
rnacentral:rRNA from 1 species